UAGCGGUGNAAAUGCGUAGGUAUCAAGAAGAACACGGCGGCGAAGGCGGCUCUCUGGACAGUUACUGACGCUGAGGUACGAAAGCCAGGGGAACGAAGAGGAUUAGAUACCCUCGUAGUCCUGGCUGUAAACGAUGUGCACUUGGUGUGGGGAGGAGUUAUCCCCUCUCCGUACCGGGGCUAACGCGUUAAGUGCACCGCCUGGGGAGUACGGCCGCAAGGCUAAAACUCAAAGGAAUUGACGGGGGCCUGCACAAGCGGUGGAGCAUGUGGCUUAAUUCGAUGCAACGCGAAGAACCUUACCUGGGUUUGACAUGCCCGUCGUAUUCCCCUUAAAGGGGGAAGUCAGCUCGGCUGGACGGUGCACAGGUGCUGCAUGGCUGUCGUCAGCUCGUGCCGUGAGGUGUUGGGUUAAGUCCCGCAACGAGCGCAACCCUUGUGUCUAGUUGCCACUCCCGAUUCUGUUGGGAAGCACUCUAGACAGACUGCCCGUGAUAAGCGGGAGGAAGGAGGGGAUGACGUCAAGUCAGUAUGGUCCUUAUACCCAGGGCUGCACACGUGCUACAAUGGCUGGUACAGAGGGCGGCGACGCCGCGAGGCGGAGCAAAUCCCGAAAACCGGUCUUAGUUCGGAUCGCAGUCUGCAAUUCGACUACGUGAAGUUGGAAUCGCGUAGUAAAUGCGUAUCAGCAAUGGCGCAUG
rnacentral:rRNA from 1 species